CUCAGUGGCAGUGAACAUGCGCUCAGGCUCCACCACGAACAUGUAGUAGAGGUUCCACACCAGCAUGGACAGCAGGGGCAGGAAUGUCAGGCCGUAGCCAAAGCCACGGAAGGAGCGGCCGAUGGCAAAGGUCAGCCAGUAUAUCAGCCUGCCGGGCGAGAAGAGAGGACAGACAGUGAGGGAGGGGGAUGGUUGGUGGGUGUGACUGAUGCUUCUAAAGACAGUAAAUGUUUAUGUACAAUGUGCCAGGCGCAAUGCUAGUUACUCAAGGGGCACUAUUCCCGAUAAAAUUCCCGAUAGCUCUAUGAGGUGAGUUUAUUAUUUCCCUCCCUCUUUUGUUUUUCAAAUUUUAAUUAAAAUUUUUUGAGUAGGCAGUAUACAGUCACAUGGUUCAAAAUGCAAAGGUACUAAUGCAUGUAUUAAAUACCUUCCUCUACUGAUCCCUGCCACCCUUUGUUCUCUUUCCUCCCCUCCCUUAUUCCACCCCUACCCCAGGCAUCCAAUAUUAUGGUUUCUUGUGUAAAAAGUGAUUUUUUUUUUAAUGCAUGUAUGAACAAAAAGAUCUGUUUUCCUCCCCACCCCCUUUUGCAGUUUGGGAGCAUGCUAUUUAGACUGUUCUGCACAUUGACUUUCCCCCGAUUUACAUAUCUUGGCAAUUAGUUUUAUCAGUAUAUA